CCAMGCUAAACCAGCAACGACAACAGUAAUAGCUGUUAGGUUUAUGAAAAUCACUCUAUAUACCCUGGCUUUGACGUCCGUGCUAAUGGCUUCGUGUCUCUUUAGUGCUGCUUCUACUGUGGCUGCAUCUUGAGCGAGUCGUUCUUCUUCUAAAACAUGCAUCAUGUCAUCCAGCCAUGAUUCGCGUAACGCGGCCUGAUAAACAAAGACAAAUGAAAUAAAACUGGGGAUUAUGAUAGCGUUGUUGCCGGCAAUGCGGCGUAAAGUCGUACCAAAAUAAUUGGAACUGCGGAGGAUUAGAGGAUUAACAUAUUUAACUAUCUACCUCAAGAUAUUGUUAUUAUAUUGAUGUUAUUUAAUUGACGGUUGUUGAAAUGUUAUUCGGCGAAAGAGAAAUUGAACUUCGCAGGUCGCACUUUAAUGAUGUAAUGGUGGUAAUGCAGUUUUCUUUUUUCGUUUAAGUUAUUUAAAAAACUUAGAGGAUAGAAAAUGAAAAUAUGCUUUGACCAAAGAAGCAGCAGACGCCAUACAAAGUGUAUCAAUAAAGUUAUACCUUUCUUUCAAA